GAGGUUGUGGGUCAGUGUGGUUCUAUGUCAGUGAGGUUCUAGAUCAGUGUGGUUCUAGGUCAGUAAGGUUGUGGGUCAGUGAGGUUCUAUGUCAGUGAGGUUCUAGAUCAGUGUGGUUCUAGGUCAGUAAGGUUGUGGGUCAGUGAGGUUCUAGGCCAGUGUGGUUCUAGAUCAGUGUGGUUCUAGGUCAGUGAGGUUCUAGGUCAGUGUGGUUCUAGGUCAGUGAGGUUCUAGAUCAGUGUGGUUCUAGGUCAGUAAGGUUGUGGGUCAGUGAGGUUCUAGGUCAGUGUGGUUCUAGAUCAGUGUGGUUCUAGGUCAGUGAGGUUCUAGAUC